GGCCUGUUGAUUAUAAUUUUAGGUCUGACCUGCCCAAUGAAAAUUUUGAAUGGCCGCGGUAUAUUGACCGUGCGAAGGUAGCAUAGUCAUUAGUUUUUUAAUUAAAAGCUCGCAUGAAGGGUUUGAUGAGAAAAAUACUGUCUCUUUUUAAUUUUAUUAGAAUUUUAUUUUUAAGUAAAAAAGCUUAAAUUUAUAUAGAAGACGAGAAGACCCUAUAGAGUUUUAUAUUUGGUUUAUUCUAAAGCUCAGGAAAAAAUGCUUUAAAUUGAAUUGAAUAUUUUGUUGGGGUGAUAGAAAAAUUUACGAAACUUUUUUUUAAAAAAACCAUUAAUUUAUGAGAAAGUGAUCCUAAUGUUUAGAUUAAAAGAAUAAACUACCUUAGGGAUAACAGCGUAAUUUUUUUUAGAGUUCUUAUCGAAAAAAAAGAUUGCGACCUCGAUGUUGGAUUAAAAUAUAUUAUUGGUGAAGAAGCUAAAUAAUUGGGUCUGUUCGACCUUUGAAAUUUUACAUGAUCUGAGUUUAGACCGGUGUGAG
rnacentral:rRNA from 1 species